UCGAACGGAAAGGCCUCUAGCUUGCUAGAGGUACUCGAGUGGCGAACGGGUGAGUAACACGUGGGUGAUCUGCCCUGCACUGUGGGAUAAGCCUGGGAAACUGGGUCUAAUACCAUAUAGGACCGCACUUUGGAUGGUGUGGUGGAAAGCUUUUGCGGUGUGGGAUGAGCCUGCGGCCUAUCAGCUUGUUGGUGGGGUAAUGGCCUACCAAGGCGGCGACGGGUAUCCGGCCUGAGAGGGUGUACGGACACAUUGGGACUGAGAUACGGCCCAGACUCCUACGGGAGGCAGCAGUGGGGAAUAUUGCACAAUGGGCGCAAGCCUGAUGCAGCGACGCCGCGUGGGGGAUGAAGGCCUUCGGGUUGUAAACUCCUUUCGCUAUCGACGAAGCCACUUGUGGUGACGGAAAAUAGAUAAGAAGCACCGGCUAACUACGUGCCAGCAGCCGCGGUAAUACGUAGGGUGCAAGCGUUGUCCGGAAUUACUGGGCGUAAAGAGCUCGUAGGUGGUUUGUCGCGUCGUCUGUGAAAUCCCGGGGCUUAACUUCGGGCGUGCAGGCGAUACGGGCAUAACUUGAGUGCUGUAGGGGAGACUGGAAUUCCUGGUGUAGCGGUGAAAUGCGCAGAUAUCAGGAGGAACACCGAUGGCGAAGGCAGGUCUCUGGGCAGUUACUGACGCUGAGGAGCGAAAGCAUGGGUAGCGAACAAAAGAAGAUACCCCGGUAGUCCAUGCCGUAA
rnacentral:rRNA from 1 species